rnacentral:rRNA from 1 species
UAGGGAAUCUUCCGCAAUGGGCGAAAGCCUGACGGAGCAACGCCGCGUGAGUGAUGAAGGUCUUCGGAUCGUAAAACUCUGUUAUUAGGGAAGAACAAAUGUGUAAGUAACUAUGCACGUCUUGACGGUACCUAAUCAGAAAGCCACGGCUAACUACGUGCCAGCAGCCGCGGUAAUACGUAGGUGGCAAGCGUUAUCCGGAAUUAUUGGGCGUAAAGCGCGCGUAGGCGGUUUUUUAAGUCUGAUGUGAAAGCCCACGGCUCAACCAUGGAGGGUCAUUGGAAACUGGAAAACUUGAGUACAGAAGAGGAGAGUGGAAUUACAUGUGUAGCGGUGAAAUGCGCAGAGAUAUGGAGGAACACCAGUGGCGAAGGCGACUUUCUGGUCUGUAACUGACGCUGAUGUGCGAAAGCGUGGGGAGCAAACAGG